rnacentral:rRNA from 1 species
GACGAACGCUGGCGGCGUGCUUAACACAUGCAAGUCGAACGGAAAGGCCCUGCUUUUGUUGGUUUCUCGAGUGGCGAACGGGUGAGUAACACGUGAGUAACCUGCCCUUGACUUUGGGAUAACUUCAGGAAUCUGGGGCUCAUACCGGAUAUGAUCUCCUGCUGCAUGGUGUGGGUUGGAAAGUUUCGGCGGUUGGGGAUGGACUCGCGGCUUAUCAGCUUGUUGGUGGGGUAGUGGCUUACCAAGGCUUUGACGGGUAGCCGGCAUGAGAGGGGUACCGGCGACAUGGGGACUGAGAGACGGCCCAGACGCGUACGGGAGGCAGGAGGGGGGAAUAUGGCAGAAUGGGCGGAAGCCUGAUGCAGAAACGCCGCGUGCGGGAUGACGGCCUUCGGGUUGUAAACAGAUGUCGACUGUGACGAAGAGUGAGUGACGGUAAUGGGUAAAGAAGCACCGGCUAACUACGUG